UCUUCGGGGCAGGGUGACUGCGCAGUAUCCAUAUCUGCUGCAAGGAAUUCCCUACCGGCGGUAUAGUCCGCGACCCGCAGCAUGCGGCUGAUCCGGUGUGAUUCCGGAACCGACAGUAUAGUCUGGAUGAGAGAAGA
rnacentral:ncRNA from 1 species